rnacentral:misc_RNA from 1 species
GUUUGCCAAGCGUUUCUUACAUCCAGACAUAGUUGCGGAGUAUGAUUAUAUCUUCCUCUGGGAUGAGGAUCUUGGAGUGGAACAUUUUAAUCCCAAACGCUAUUUAUCAAUUGUAAAAAGGGAAGGGCUAGAGAUAUCACAACCUGCACUGGAUACAGCCAAAGCAGGAGUGCAUCAUCGAAUCACUGGACGGAAAAGUAAAG